ensembl:lncRNA
GGACCUACCAUGCCAGCAAAGGAUUAAGCUAAGUAAGAUUAAGAUUAAACUCUCUAUGACUUUGCCAUCUUUGGGGAACUUUGGAUUGAGCCCUCUUAAUAUCAAAAGAAAACUGGCUAUAGACAUUUAAGAACAAACUCCCAUUACCUUAAAACAUGCAAAGUUAGAAUUAAUAAUAUGCAGUAGUAUGCAGUUAUUUUUAGAAAGAGUAUCCACAGUGCUUUUCAUUCCUGCGAUGACCAAAGUAAAAUAGUACAAACUCUUAGUCUGUCCUUGUACUCUCCUGUUGUGAGGAACCCAAGUCAGUACUAAGGGGAACAGCAUAUAACCCUAAAUUACAGGCAUUACACUUCCUGUUCAUUUCAAAUUCAUUAUUUGAACACCUUUUUUGCUGCUGAAUAAUUACUAAAUUACAUAUUUGACAUGUACAUGCAUAAUAUAUAUUUCUAUUCAUUGUGCAAUAGUACUUUAUAUUACUCAUGUUUUUUGCUCUACUCCCUACUUGCUUGCCCAUUGUAUGCCCAUCCUAAAGCAUAUUGUAUAAUCUACACUGGUUAGCCCAAAUUCCAACAAAACCACUACAGAUACAGUGGGAAUUAAUCUGGCUUCUUAACCUAAUAAGUCCCUCAUGUUUACAUUGUUAAUCAACAGUUUGCAGAACAACCACAAAACCAAAAGUCCUUUACCUUACCAGCAUUACUAUUUAGUUGAUAGUUUCCAUUGUCUACUUGAAACUGUGACAGCAGCAAAGAAUACAGUAAGUUUUCUAGUUUUGCUUGAAUAUCUUCAUCAAAGGUUUCUUUUGAUAAACCUGACCUCCUUUUUAAGUAUACUAAAGUGCAGGUAUUCCCAGGGAAAUAUUUGCCAUUGAAAGGAGAAACAAAUCCUUAGGGGAAGGUGGUUGAAGGCCUAAAAGAGUGACUUACUGAAUUUGUAAAUAUUAUUGUUAAAUGCAAAUAUUUAAUUUUGGUUUUGCAACAGAUUGAGGGGGAAAACAUACACAAAAAAAAGGAAUAAAUCUUUCAGCUUAGUGCAAAGUGAGGGCUGUUCUAUCAAUCACUGAGUGCACCUCCACAGCGACCUCCCAGCCAAGGCUGAACUAACAAACCCUCAAUCCUCCAACUCAGCUGUCAAGCUCAGUGUCACCAGCAAGCUCUGCAGAUGUGGCAGGACACUCGAGGGAUAGGGACAGAUCAGAUCAUGUCUGAGAAGAGCAUUGUGUGAUCUUUUUAGUGGACUAGUGCCACGAGCUUCAGCUUUGUAGCUGGCAAGUUAGGUAACAAAAACUAGGCAUCGUUUCAAUAUUUUCGUGCAGUUAUAAUUUGUGAUUUGUGGACGUUAAAUGCUUUCUAUUUCAAUAGCCAGUUUUAUAUUGUAGAAGUUUACCUCGAUUAUAUGACAACGUUUACUGUCUAAAGUAUUACUAAAAACAUACAGGCCACCAAUAAAUGUCAUUGUGAAAGUCAUCUCCACUUCUGUGUUAAGCACCCAAAGCAAAAAGACCUGUUUCUGUGUUGUUGUAAGUACUAGACUCUUAUCUGUAUAACUACAGCUAUAUUUAUGUAUAUAUAUAUAUGUGUAUAUAUAUAUAUAUAUAUAUAUACACACCUUAGGCAAUAUCAUCCUUAAAGUAUUUCUGUGUAAUGCUGUAACAUUUUAUACCACUAUUCCUCAUUACUUUUAACCACUAUCCUAACUCAGCUCUCCCUUAAAUCUUUGACAUGAGCAGGUUGUGUCAGCAAUUCUUCUUGGAGAGGAUACCCAGCUAGCUGUAAUUCAUUUCUGUAUCCCAGAACAGACUAAGCUAAUGAAGUUUACUUGGAGUGGAGAUUCAGCAAAUUGCUAAUUUUCCUAUAUACAUGUUGGAGUUUGAAGCCAAAUUUAGGAUUAACCUUUUAGAAACUAUAUUUAAUUUUAGAGACUUAUUUAUUUAGAAUACUGUGUUAAAUACAGGAUCACAUUGUGUUAUGUGUAAUGGCCUUGAACAGCCUGACUCAGGCUGCCUGUAGCCGAGUAUUCAGUGUAAAUAUAUCCACUUAGAAUAUAAGCAGCACCACACUGUACCAUGGCUGCAGUGGAAACAGCAUCAGGUUCCAGAAGGGAACCUGAUGAUAAUAAGAUAUGAUAACAAGAAGGGAUUGGGGAGGGGAGGAGGAGUUGGCAGUGAAAAGAAUGGUAGAUUGGAUUUUGCCAUUUCUAAUUUAUAUGAAAAUAAAAUAGAAUUUAGUCUUGCAUAUCCCUAGUAAACUCCACUUCAUACCUUGCCUUACGGUGUCACAUACUGCAAAAAAAGUGAAAAGCAGUUAGAAGGUUGGUACUGUGAAAUUUUUAUAGCUUAUCUGAUGCAUAACUUAUUUUCCAUGUAUAUUAGUUAUUCCUCAGCUUUGUGUAUUGGCAGCUUUAUGUACUGGCAGUGUUGUUAGGCUACAAUUAAGCAAAGGCUCUGGGGCAGGAGAGCAGACAGAGCCAUACCUUGGAGCUUUAUCAUGAGUGAUCAGAGGUGAAGAAUUGUUGGAAUAGGAUGGAAAGCAAAGACAGUUGCUGAACAAAUACAAAAUUGUAAAGAUAAUUAAGCCCACCAUUAAAUAACAUUUUUUUGCAUUUUGUUUUUUGAACCAAAGUCAGCUAAAUAAUUAAAAAUAAUGAAAAAAAAUAAGAGAAAAUGCUGAAAGAGAAUUUCAAGUCCACUUAGAAUUACUGAGAAUUUCAACCAUCUCCAGCUCAUAUUCUCAAGCAAAUGCAAACCUGGACAUUUCUGUGAAAUUGAAUGAAUAAAUAGAAAAGUUGAAGUUAACAGAUGUGUGUAAGAUACUAACAGCCACUUUGCUACUAUUGACUUUUCUUUCAAAAAAAAAUUUGAAUUAUGCACUUGAAAUUCAUCAGAUAAUUAUAUGCCCAGGAAAGGGAAACAACAUACUGCCCAUGGGCUUAGAUGAGCUUUGCAUACCUAGCCUGAAUCCUCCUCCUGCUUAGCUAAGCCUGAAUCUUCCUCAUGCUUAGUUUAUCAUAUAGUACACAACUACACCAAAAAAAAACCCCAAAACAGCUAAACUAGAAAACAAAACAGAAAUAAAUUAAUUUUGUGAAAAUAUGUAUUACAGUAGUGCUAUUUAAUUUUUAAAUCAUCUAUGAAAUACUAAAUGAUCUAAAAUAACUUUGUUUUUACAAGUUUAUAGUAAUUUAAGUAAUUUUUAAGCUUCUCUAAGGAUUUUGUUUUGUACUGUAAAAAGCUCUCCAAGCGUGAGAACCAAGAUUCCAGACCCAAAGCCCUCUUUCUGCACAGCAGCACCUAUAAAGUGAGGCCAUGUCUACGAUUUGCAGGAUGCCUUUCAAAGGCAGGACAUAAAUAAGUGACCCUGAGAUGUAAUGUCACCUGCCAAAGCAUUGUUAGUGUUGAAACUGAUUUCUGUGAUGUGAUUAUUCUAGAUACAAAUGGAAAGAAGCAGUAGAAAGGCAGACUCUGUAUACUAGACUGUACUAUACAGUGCCAUUUUUACAUGUUAAAUUCUGAAGAAUUGUGUUUCUGGUAUUUUUUAUUUUCUCUGCUUAUCUAUGGUGGCUCUCUAUACUGUGAUCUGUCAUUUUACAUGAGAGUACACAGCAGAUAUGCACUGUUCUGUUUCAAAAGAAAUAAUACAUUUUCAAUAUCUUUCUGUCUAACACAUCUGCAAAACCAGUAACCUUUUUCACAGAGCUGUCUACAUCAGAGUGGUUGUAUUUUGAAAUACUGAAAAUAUUAAAACAAUACAAAAUA